AGGCGCUCCCAGGCCGCUCGCGCCACGGUCACCCAACCUGAAAAGGGGGGUCACGACCGUGGGGGUCAUGUGGGGUGCCAGGGGUAUCCACAGUGGGCUUCCGCGGGGCCUCCACCCCGGAGCUUCACAGAGGAAGUGAAGUUUGAGCUGCGCGCCCUGAGGGACUGCUACGCGGCGGAGACAGGACUAGGCCUCCUUCCAGCUGCGCCGCCCCAGGUGCAGAAACUUUCCUCCCAGUCUCCGCUCUCCUGCCCGUCCCUCUCUGCCUCCUCCCUCCAUCUCCCUCCUUCCCUACUCCUCCUCCUCCCUCCUUCUUUCUCCCCUCCUUUUUCUCUCCCUUCUCCUCCCUCUCUCCUCCUCCUCCCUCUCCCUGUCCCCUCCCUCCCUGUCCCCGAUUCUCUCUCGCUGCCCCUCCCUCCUUCUUUCACUCCUCCUCCUCCCUCCCUCUGUCCCCUUCCUCCCUGUCCCUCCUUCUCUCCCUCGCUCCACCUCCCUUCUUCUUUCACCCCUUCUUUUUCUCUCCCUCCUCCUUCCGCUCCCCUCCUCCUCCUUCCCCCUGUCCCUUCCAUCCCCCUGUCCCCUCUUCUCUCCCUAGCUCCUCCUCCCUCCUUUCUCCCUCGCUCCUGCCCCCUGGCUUCCCUCGCAUCUCUUGCAAAACCCGGGACGGAUCGCGGGCCCGGGCCCGGGCCCGGCCUCCGCGCAGGCGCAGGAGCAGCGCCGGCUCGGCCGCUAGUCGGAAGCGCCAGCCCCGAGCCGGGGAAGUGGCCGCAGAGGCUGCUCGGUCCCGCUGCCCGCCAGGUCGUGGGCUCCCGCUCCGGGCCCGGGGCCACCGGCUGUCUAUGAAGAAUAAUGCGUGCCUGGCCGGGCGUGGUGGCUCACACCUGUAAUGCCAGCACUUUGGGAGGCCAAGGCGGUGGAUCACGAGGUCAAGAGAUUGAGACCAUCGGCCAACAUGGUGAAACUCCCUCUCUACUAAAAAUACAAAAAUUAGCUAGGCGUGGUGGCGGGCGCCUGUAGUCUCAGCUACUGGGGAGGCUGAAGCAGUAGAAUCCCUUGAACCUGGGAGGCGGAGUUUGCAGUGAGCCGAGAUCGCGCCACUGUACUCCAGCCUGGCGACAGAGUGAGAAAACAAACAAACAAACAAACAAGAAUAAUACUGUGCCUGUAUUCCCAGCACUUUGGGAGGCUGAGGCCGGUGGAUCACCUGAGGUCAUGAGUUCGAGACCAGCCUGGACAACAUGGCGAAACCCCAUCUCCACUAAAAAUACAAAAAUUAGCCGAGCAUGGUGGCUCACGCCUGUAGUCCCAGCUUCCCAGGAGGCUGAGGCAUGAGAAUCGCUUGAACCUGGGAGGUGGAGGUUGAGGUGAGCUGAAAUCCUGUCACUGCACUCCAGCCUGGGUGACAGAGCAAAACUCCAUCUCAAGAAAAGAGGAAUAAUGCUGCUGUGUACAUUCCUGUACAAGUUUUUGGUGUGGACACAUGUUUUCAGAUCUCUUGGAUUGCUGGUUUUAUGGUAGCUCUAUGGAGGAACUACCAAGUUGAAGAUAUAAAUUUUUGCUGUUUUAAUACCUGUAUUAGCUUAGUCUCAGAUACCAGAACUGGCUCAGUGGCUGGGGCCUUUUUUUUUUUUUUUUUUUUUUUUGUUAAGAGUCUUACUCUAUCACUCAGGCUGGAAGUGCAGUAGUGUGAUCUCAGUUCACUGUAACCUCCUCCUCCCCGGGUUCAAGCGAUUCCUGUGCCUCAGCCUCCCAAGUAGCUGGAAUUACAGGUGUAUGUCACCAUGCCUGGCUAAUUUUUGUAUUUUUAGUAGAGAAAGGGUUUUGCCAUGUUGGCCAGGCUGGUCUCGAACUCCUGACGUCCUCAGGUAAUCCACUCGACUUGGCCUCCCAAAGUGCUGAGAUCACAGGUAUGAGGUCAGGUUUUUUGAGACGGAGUCUAACUCUUAUCACUUCAGGCUGGAGUGCAGUGGCACCACCAGCUUCACUGCAACCCCCACCUCCUGGGUUCAAGCGAUUCUGCUGCCUCAGCCUCCAGAGUAGCUGGGAUUACAGGCGUGCACCCCCACGCCUGGCUAAUUUUUUUGUAUUUUUAUUAGAGACAGGGUUUUUCCAUGUUGGUCAGGCUGGUCUCCAACUCCUGACCUCAAGUGAUCUGCCUGCCUUGGCCUCCCAAAGUGCUGGGAUUACAGGUGUGAGCCACCGCACCUGGCUGAUUAUGCUGCUUUUUAGAUGAGACGAUACUUUUUAUUUUUAAAUUAUUUUUAUUUAUUUAUUUUUUUGAGAUGGAGUCUCACUCUGUUGCCCAGGCUGGAGUGCAAUGGUGUGAUCUUGACUUACUGCCUCCUCCACUUCCUGAGUUCAAGCAAUUCUCCUGCCUCAGCCUCCGGAGUAGCUGGGACUACAGGUGUGUGCCACCACUCCUGGCUAAUUUUUGUAUUUUUAGUAGAGACCGGGUUUUGCCAUGUUGACCAUGCUGGUCUCGAACUCCUGACCUCAAGUGAUCCUCCCACCUCGGCCUCCCAAAUUACAACUGUGAGCCACCAUGUCUGGCCGAGAUGAUACUUUUAAAAUACGGCCCUUUCUUCAUCUGCGGUGGGCCGCACUCUCCUUCUCUGUAGAAUGAAGGCUUCGGUGUUUCUCAACUUCUGUUAAACCCAUGCCUACUUUUGAGAAACAUGCCCUCUCUAGUCUCCCCUGCUCAGUAUUUUGAUAUGUCCUCCGAGGGGUGUUAUGCCUCUUUGUUGGAAGAUGAUGUGAUUUUGGUUCUUUCCAGGUGGUUUUUGUGUGCAGAAAAGACUCUUGAGGGAAUCGUUGUGGGGAAAGGGCAGGAGAGAGUGGGGCAUCGUCCUUGAGAGCGUGAGCACUGGAGUCGGGGACUUGGGCCGAGUCAUACACGUACAAUAUACUUGUGAACCGUUUAGAUCCUGGGCAGAAACAAGACAUGUUGGGAGGCUAGGGUUUCCUUUCCUUUAAAUAUAAUUUUGUCCAUACUCCCCUAUCCAUGUGCAUUUUUGAAGUUUGCAGUGGUGGGGUUGCGGUGUAUAGUCCAUUGUGGGAUCUGCAUAGUCAGAAUGGGAUAGCCCCCAACACGCAGUCCUCCUCUCAGUGCAGGGUGAGAGGCUUGCCAUUAGAAUUUCACAGAGGUCUUGUGGCUAUGUCAUUUUAAUCUUAGUGUCUCACCUGGGACGGUUACUGCCACGAUCUCUGCAGUCAGGCUUUGGCGACCUGAAGGUCAUGCAGUUUUGGGUGUCCUAUUUAAGAAAAAGAAAACAAAAUUAAAAAUGCAGGCCGGGCGCGGUGAAACCCUGUCUCUACUAAAAAAUACAAAACACCUAGCCGGGCGCGGUGGCGGGUGCCUGUAGUCCCAGCUACUCAGGAGGCUGAGGCAGGAGAAUGAAGGGAACCUGAGGCGGGAGCUUGCAGUGAGCUGGGAGAUCGCCAGCCACUGCACUCCGGCCUGGGCUUAUUGUGAGCUUGAGACUCGCCCCCAAAAAAAAAAAAAAAAAAAAAAAAAAAAAAAGCAAAAUUAGUCAGGUACAGUGGCUCACGCCUGUAAUCCCAGCACUUUGGGAGGCUGGAGGGGUGGGUGGAUCAUGCCUGCAGAGAUCGACCAUCCUGGGUAAUCCAGUGAAAUGCUGUCUCUACUAAAAAAUACAUGAAAAAUUAGCCGGGCGUGGUGGCGGGCACCUGUAGUCCCAGCUACUUGGGAGGCUGAGGCAGGAGAAUGGCAUGAACCCGGGAGGCGGAGCUUGCAGUGAGCCGAGAUCACGCCACUGCACUCUAGCCUGGGCCACAGAGUGAGACUCCGUCUCAAAAAAAAAAAGCAAAAUUAGAUAGAGGGCCAUGGAAGGGGCCUGAAGCUGAACCCCAUUAGCUCAUGGUACAGCUGCCUCUGGCCAUGGGGACCAUGGCCAAAUCCCCUGAGGAAGUGUGAGCCCGCUGAUGGGGACAGUUGAGGUGUGUAUCGAGACAUCUUAUUUGAUACAGAGAGCUCAUUUAAUCUCCCUCACCUUUACAAAAAUUAGACUUUUUAUUUGAGACUAUAGUAGUUGUAGCUCCAUGUGCAUUUGUCAGAAAUAAUACCGAGAGAUCCUAUAUACCUUUUGCCCAAUUUCCCCCCGUGGUGCCAUCUUACAAAACCACAGUACGUUAUCACAACCAGAACGUUGACUCGCUGACAUCUUGAGGUAUGUGUUACUAUCCUCAUUUUUAUUCACGAUGGAACUGGGGUUCAGGGAGGUGCACAGGCUUGCUCCAGGUCACCCAGGUCGUGCGUGUAGAGCUGGGAGUUGAAUAUCAGCCCUCACUUCCAGGCAGUGGGGUUUCCAUCCUGACCGUCAGUGGGCUGCGGCCAGCAUUCAUUCGAUUGUCCAUUUGCUUGUUUGUUCACUCAUUCCUUCAACAAACAUGUAUUGAGGAUCUUCUAUGAGCCAGAUUCUUUCAUGUGGGUCAUCUAAUUUAAUUUUUCCCCAGCUCUGGGGAAUCAGGUAAUAACGUUUUCUUUUUAUAUCCGACAAAAUUGGCUCAGGGAGGUUAUGGCAACUCUCCCGUUUAUAAAGGAGUGGUGAUAUAUUUGUGUAAUCUCUCCUUUUAUGUUAGGCACAAUGCUAGGCCCUUUACAUUCGCAACCUCCUCAAUCUAAAUAUAGUUUUAUAAGGUAAGUUCUUUUUCUUUAAUUUUUUUUUUUUUUUUUUGAGAUGGAGUCUGGCUCUGUUGCCCAGGCUGGAGCGCAGUGGCGGGAUCUCGGCUCACUGCAAGCUCUGCCUCCCGGGUUCAUGUCAUUCUCUUUCCUCAGCCUCCCAAGUAGCUGGGACUACAGGCACCUGCCACCACACCCAGCUAAUUUUUUUGUAUUUUUAGUAGAGAUGGGGUUUCACCAUGUUAGCCAGGAUGGUCUCGAUCUCUCCUGACCUCGUGAUCCGCCCGCUUCAGCCUCCCAGAGUGCUGGGAUUACAGCCGUGAGUCACCGUGCCCCACCUCUUUUUUUUUUUUUUUGAGAUGGAGUCUCACUCUGUCAUCCAGGCUGGAGUGCAGUGGCGCGAUCUCGGCCCACUGCAGCUUCCACCUCUCGGGUUCCAGCAAUUUUCCUGCCUCAGCCUCCCGGGUAGCUGGGGUUACAGGCACGUGCCACCACGCCCAGCUAAUUUUUGUAUUUUUAAUACAGGUGGGGUUUCACCAUAUUAGCCAGGCUGGUCUCGAAUUCCUGAUCUCAAGUGAUCCGCCAGCCUCGGCCUCCCAAAGUAUUAGGAUUACAGGCGUGAGCCACCGUGCCUGGCCAAGACAAGUUCUAUUAUCACCACUAUUUUGUAGCUGAGGAGUUCCAGGGAGCCCAGAAUUCAAAUCCAGAUCUGACUGCAUGGUGGAUUUUUCUUAAUAUCCUAUUGAGGGGAUGGGGGAGCAAUUACACACGUGUUUAUUCAUUCACUCAACAGAUAUUUUUGAGCACUGACUCUUACUACUCCUGGUUAGGUGGUGGGAAUAGAAAGACAAGAAACAGCCCCAUUUCUGCAGAAGCUCCAAGCUGAGGCCGAGGGACUGAAGGUCAACAGUUACAGCAUUAUGAUCAGAGCUGUGACAGCCACGUGUAGAGCCCUAAGACCUGUUGAUGCUAUGGCUUUCCUUGGGGCUUCCCCUGCCUCUGGCUAGUGAAGGUCGGAGUCACUGCCUCCCAUAGUGGGCUGUCAGCUCUCAGGACUCUGUCUCACAGCCU
rnacentral:lncRNA from 1 species